CUGGCUUCUGCACCCAUCAUCCCCUCUGAGUCUUCUCCCUCCCUUUCCCAAGCCCCCUAGAUUUCCUGAGCCCUCCCUUUCAUGGGAUGUUAUUACCCUCAGCCCCCCCCCCCCCAGCCCCACACCCUGCCUGUGGCUCUGCCUGUCCUGCUGCCGACCUGCUGGCAGCAUGGAGACACACAUGUCUCAGGAUAAGCCUGGGGCUAGGGAUCAAAGUCACUGGGCUCAGAGGCUGCUAGGGACCAUGGGAAGGGAACCGGGUCAGCGGAUUGAUGGGACCUGGCUCAGAGGCUCGUGAAGUGUCUCUGAGGUUGACUUCUGCCCUCAACUCUGCUCCCAGCUUGCCCUUCUGGGCCUGGGCUCCUGGCAUCUGCUUUAUCGGGAUUCUCAAGAGGGACAGCUGGUUUAUGUUACAAGCCUGUUCCCUGCAUAUCUGCUCUGGUUUUAAAUAGCUUUAUCUGAGCAGCUGGAGGACCACAUGAGCUUAUAUGGCGUGGGGUACUUGUUCUUUUAGCCCUGUGCCGGGCACCUGCCAAAAUAGCAGCCAACACCCCCCAUUGUGUUGUCCCCCCCCCCAUCUCCUGCUGCACAUUCCUCCCUCCGCGGGGCUUGGCUCACAAGGCCCCAGCCCACAUGCCUGCUUAAAGCUCUCCCCAUGCCCUGCCCUUAGCCAGUCCCUGCUGAGGCUGAACAGAUACCUCAAGACCUGUGUGCAGUCCCUGUUCAGAGGCAAUGAUCUCCUCCUCACAGGUUCUGAUAGCUCCCCCUGGGGUCUGGACAAGGUGAGUCUACACUACCAGACUCCUGGACUCAGGAGUGGCCGUGCUCAUCCCGAGAUCUACGUGGAGGUCAUUUGGUAUCCAAAUCUUCUCACUAGAACACAGCUCCACCCACUGUUAAGACACCUCACACAUUUGGUUUUUCACUAUCUAAAUGUGGGGGACGGGGGCAGGUCAGGGUGACAUGUUGCGUGGGGCUGCUGUCCUGGGUUCCACUUGAGCAGGGCCCCUCCCCACAGUCUCGGUCCUACUCCAGCGGAGGGAGCAAUGUGAGGACUUGCUUUGCUUGUUUCCAGCUGAGUAGGCCUGGACCAGCCCAAGCCACAGUGAGUUCUGAGUCUGAGGCAGUCUCUACUUAGAGCAUCUGGGAACUCCCUGCUUCCUGGACACCUGUCCGUGUCAAGGGUGGCCUCGUGCUGCCCAUCAGUGUAACUAACAGUGUGUUGCAUCUCAUGGAUGUCUGUAGAUGUGCACCUGGGGUCUCAGCCCUCUUCUCUGCAUUGGGAUAUAUGUGGGAAACUGGAGGAGACAAGGGCAGGACCAUCCAUAUCCCAGCCUUCUGUACUGGAAAUGUGGGUCAGACUACAGGGGAUGGCUUCAGUGUGGGCAGGAAACAGGACACAAGAGAAAGACACGAGGGUGGUCCUGUCAAUCACGUUGCUUCUACCGAUCUUGAGUUUGUCACAUUGGGGGCUUAUACUCCCCCUUGCCCUUUUUUUUUUUUUUGGUCAGGAAGAUUAUAUUGCAAAGAACAAGGGGCGUUGUCAACAUUUCAGUCAAUGUGCCUAUUGUCUUUGGGCUAGGCACUGAGAUGCCUUCAGGGCUUGGGUUAUAAUAAAACGGGGUGAAUUUGUACA
rnacentral:lncRNA from 1 species